rnacentral:rRNA from 1 species
GUCCCCAUCUAAGUGCCCUGGAACGGGACGUCAUAGAGGGUGAGAAUCCCGUAUGGGAUGGGGUGUCCGCGCCCGUGUGAAGCUCCUUCGACGAGUCGAGUUGUUUGGGAAUGCAGCUCUAAAUGGGUGGUAAAUUUCAUCUAAAGCUAAAUAUUGGCCGGAGACCGAUAGCGCACAAGUAGAGUGAUCGAAAGAUGAAAAGCACUUUGAAAAGAGAGUUAAAAAGCACGUGAAAUUGUUGAAAGGGAAGCGCUUGCGACCAGACUCGCUC